AUGAACGCUAGCGGGAGGCCUAAUACAUGCAAGUCGAACGGUAAAUGGUAGCAAUACUAUGAGAGUGGCGUACGGGUGCGUAACGCGUACACAACCUGCCUUGUACUGGGGGAUAGCCUCGGGAAACUGAGAUUAAUACCCCAUAAUUUUACGAAGUAGCAUUACUUUGUAAUUAAAGCUCCGGCGGUACAAGAUGGGUGUGCGUCCGAUUAGGUAGUUGGUGAGGUAACGGCUCACCAAGCCGACGAUCGGUAGCUGGUCUGAGAGGACGAUCAGCCACACGGGCACUGAGACACGGGCCCGACUCCGUACGGGAGCAGCAGUAGGGAAUAUUGGACAAUGGACGCAAGUCUGAUCCAGCCAUCCCG
rnacentral:rRNA from 1 species